UACGAAGGGGGCUAGCGUUGCUCGGAAUUACUGGGCGUAAAGGGCGCGUAGGCGGACAGUUUAGUCAGAGGUGAAAGCCCAGGGCUCAACCUUGGAAUUGCCUUUGAUACUGGCUGUCUUGAGUGCGGGAGAGGUGUGUGGAACUCCGAGUGUAGAGGUGAAAUUCGUAGAUAUUCGCAAGAACACCAGUGGCGAAGGCGGCUCACUGGCCCGAUACUGACGCUGAGGCACGAAAGCGUGGGGAGCAAACAGG
rnacentral:rRNA from 1 species